rnacentral:rRNA from 1 species
CAAUAGCGUAUAUUAAUGUUGUUGCAGUUAAAAAGCUCGUAGUUGGAUUUCUGGUGGGAGCGGCCGGUCCGCCGUAAGGUGUGUACUUGGUUGUCUCCUGUCAUCCUUGUGGGAACUGCUCUGGCAUUAAGUUGUCGGGGUUAGGGAACACAUCGUUUACUGUGAAAAAAUUAGAGUGUUUAAAGCAGGCUUAUGCCGUUGAAUACAUUAGCAUGGAAUAAUGAGAUAGGACUUUGGCGUCUAUUUUGUUGGUUUGCACACCAAGGUAAUGAUUAAUAGGGAUAGUUGGGGGUAUUCGUAUUUAAUUGUCAGAGGUGAAAUUCUUGGAUUUAUGAAAGACGAACUUCUGCGAAAGCAUUUACCAAAGAUGUUUUCAUUAA